UUCAAGAAUUAUUGGACCAACAUUUUUAUUAUUGACUUGUUGUUUGGGAACUCUUUGCCCAUCUUCUAUAGUGGAAAACCUCCGUGUUAGAUAAUGAUGAGACCAAUCCCGAAAACUCCUUCGGCGAAAACGCCGCGCAGCGCGAAGACACCAAGACGACCCACAGGCAACAAGGAUCCUGUCGAGGUGUAUUGCCGGAUUAGACCUCUCGGCAAUAAUGAAGAAGAAUCUUGCGUUCAAAUUAUCAGCGAUACUGUGUUGCAGCUAACAGCA